rnacentral:rRNA from 1 species
UACGGAGGGUGCAAGCGUUAUCCGGAUUCACUGGGUUUAAAGGGUGCGUAGGUGGGCUGGUAAGUCCGUGGUGAAAUCUCCAAGCUUAACUUGGAAACUGCCGUGGAUACUAUUAGUCUUGAAUCUCGUGGAGGUAAGCGGAAUAUGUCAUGUAGCGGUGAAAUGCUUAGAUAUGACAUAGAACACCGAUAGCGAAGGCAGCUUGCUACACGAGUAUUGACACUGAGGCACGAAAGCGUGGGGAUCGAAACAGG